rnacentral:ncRNA from 1 species
UAUCCCAUAACCUUGGGAUGAGGAUUGGCUCUGAGGACUGAGCGGGUCGGGCUGGGGACCUGAAGCAGGAAUGGCACUGCACCAGGACUGGGCAGGGCUCGCCGUUCACACGGCGCGGACAAGCCCGGACCACCGUCGGAACCUUCCUGUGGAAAGCUGCAGCUGCGCGGCGUCUGAGGGCUUCGUGCCCCAAGUGCUAUGCUUCGGCCGGCAAAAACAGUCCACUCAGAACUGGCACGGACCGGAGACAUCCGAAUGUCUAAUUAAAACAAAGCAUUGUGAUGGACACUGGUCGGUGUUGACGCAAUGUGAUUUCUGCCCAGUGCUCUGAAUGUCAACGUGAAGAGAUUCAUCAAAGCGCGGGUAAACGGCAGGAGUAACUAUGACUCUCU